rnacentral:rRNA from 1 species
UACAGAGGGGGCCAGCGUUAUUCGGAAUUAUUGGGCGUAAAGGGCGCGUAGGCGGCUUUGCGUGUCUUUCGUGAAAUCCCUCGGCUCAACUGAGGACGUGCGGAAGAAACUGCAGGGCUGGAGUCCGGGAGAGGAGGGUGGAAUUCCCAGUGUAGCGGUGAAAUGCGUAGAUAUCUGGAGGAAUACCGGUGGCGAAGGCGGCAUCCUGGACCGGCAUUGACGCUGAUGAGCGAAAGCUGGGGGAGCAAACGGG